GAUGAACGCUGGCGGCGUGCCUAAUAUAUGCAAGUCGAGCGAACAGACGAGGAGCUUGCUCCUCUGACGUUAGCGGCGGACGGGUGAGUAACACGUGGAUAACCUACCUAUAAGACUGGGAUAACUUCGGGAAACCGGAGCUAAUACCGGAUACUAUAUUGAACCGCAUGGUUCAAUAGUGAAAGACGGUUUUGCUGUCACUUUUAGAUGGAUCCGCGCCGCAUUAGCUAGUUGUUAAGGUAACGGCUUACCAAGGCAACGAUGCGUAGCCGACCUGAGAGGGUGAUCGGCCACACUGGAACUGAGACACGGUCCAGACUCCUACGGGAGGCAGCAGUAGGGAAUCUUCCGCAAUGGGCGAAAGCCUGACGGAGCAACGCCGCGUGAGUGAUGAAGGUCUUCGGAUCGUAAAACUCUGUUAUUAGGGAAGAACAAAUGUGUAAGUAACUAUGCACGUCUUGACGGUACCUAAUCAGAAAGCCACGGCUAACUACGUGCCAGCCGCCGCAGUAA
rnacentral:rRNA from 1 species